rnacentral:rRNA from 1 species
UACAGAGGGUGCGAGCGUUGUCCGGAAUCACUGGGCGUAAAGGGCGCGUAGGUGGCGACCCAAGUCGAUGGUGAAAGCUCGCCGCUCAACGGCGAGUCGGCCACUGAUACUGGGUUGCUGGAGCACUGUAGAGGCAGAUGGAAUUCCGGGUGUAGCGGUGGAAUGCGUAGAGAUCCGGAAGGACACCGGUGGCGAAAGCGGUCUGCUGGGCAGUUGCUGACACUGAGGCGCGACAGCGUGGGGAGCAAACAGG